rnacentral:lncRNA from 1 species
AGAGAAAGAGAGAAAAAAGAAAAAGAAAAAGUUCACGGGAGAGGCAGAUGGCUUAGCCCUUUCAAGUGCAUGCUACAGAGGCAGAGAGGCCAAGGGGAUGUCGGAUCUCAGUGAGUUCCAGGGCUGUUACACAGAAAAACCCUGUCUCCAAAAAACAAACAGGAAAAAAGAGAAGUAAACUUCUAACAGAAUUCUCAUGAGAGCCUGCCAAAGGAUGGAUAGGCCCCGUUCCUUUGCUCUGCUCGGAAAGUUAAACACACAGCUUACCUCUUCAGGGGCAUGAGGUGGUCAGGGCUCUGAGACGGGCUCUUCCAGUAUCUUCCAGAAUUUUAGGGAUUUACUUAUCCUAGACCCUAUCCCCUAAAUCUUGAGAGUUGCUCUUAGGUCAUAAAACCCAUUCUUGUUUGGUUGUUGUUGUUGUUUGGUUGUUUGUUUUCUAGACAGGGUUUCUCUGUAUAGCUCUGGCUGUCCUGGAACUCACUUUGUAAAGCCGGCUGGCUUCGAACUCAGAAAUCUACCUGCUUCUGCUUCCCUAGAAAUGGGAUUAAAGGCGUGUGCCACCACGCCCAGCUUAAAACCCAUUCUUAUGAGAUAGGUUGUGGGAAGCCACAUGUGCCGUUGCAGAGUGGCACUGACUACUGCUGGCCACCACGCAUAAGUUUGGACAAACAACCAAUGUGUACAUAUGCAGUAAAGUUUUUUGCAAAGACACUGCCUGGCCCCCUGGGCAUGAUAAAGAGGCUUUGAGAGUAUAACCAAUCAGAUGUGAGACAUGCAAAUGAGGUAUGAUAAUGAGGCUCUGUGAGGUACAGAGAGAGAGAGAGUAGCCAGAUGAGGAACAUGCAAAUGAGGCGUAGUGCAUAACCAAUCCAGGUGUGAGACACGCCUCUCCUAGGCAUAUAUAAGCAGCACCAGUUCUGGGCUCGGGGUCUUUUCGCCUCUGCAAUCAAGCUCUCCCAAUAAAUGUGUGCAGAAGGAUCCUGUUGCAGCGUCGUUCUUGCUGGUCAAGUCUGGCGCGUGCAAGAAGUGGUGCCGAAAACCCCAGGACAAGAAACAUCUUCAGGCACAAGCGAAGACCCCCUGCUACAGGGAGGAUUCAGAACUGCAUCGCGGGGAAGGAGCAGUUAAUAAAGGUUCCCGUAAAACAGACUGCUGAGAAGGAUCCGGCGUGGAUUCAGAACUCUUCAGCUGAGGAACGGUGGUAAUGAAGUGUUCCUGCAAAACAGACUGCUGAGAAGGAUUCAACUGCGUGGAUUCAGAACUCUUCAGCUGAAGAACGGUGGUACCGGGUGAAGAAAAUCCACUUUGGGUCCCAACGCGACUGACAAGGACCGUGAAAGAGCAAGAUGAACCCCAAGAUGAUUCUCCUGCUCCUGAUGAUUGAAACCGGGAUAAGUAUACCUUUAUGGGCCAUAGGAAGAUCAUGGCCAGUACCUUUACCGGUACAUUCCAAUUCUUCUACCUAGCCUUUAUUUUUUGCAACGGAAUGUUAUUUGGAUGCGCCUUGUGCAGGACAAACUCCUCAAGAGCCACGGGUGUAUAAUAGUACUAGUUUUCAUUUGAAUUAUACACUAUGCUUUGUGCAUAAUGUGGAUAAACCUUUUACAC